UACGGAGGAUCCAAGCGUUAUCCGGAUUUAUUAGGUUUAAAGGGUGCGUAGGCGGGGGAAUAAGUCAGUGGUGAAAGGCGUCGGCUUAACCGAUAGUGUGCCAUUGAUACUGUUCUUCUUGGAUAGAGUUGAGGCUGGCGGAAUGUGUAAUGUAGCGGUGAAAUGCAUAGAUAUUACACAGAACACCAAUUGCGUAGGCAGCUGGCUAAGCUUUUAUUGACGCUGAGGCACGAAAGCGUGGGGAUCAAACAGG
rnacentral:rRNA from 1 species